AAAAAAAAAAAAAAAGACACUUUGGGAAGCUAGUUGUGGUUUUUACCCCCAAAACAUGACAGAGAAGUGAAAGAGAAAACACUGUUUUCACAAUGACUGGGAGGAAGAGUUCUUUUUCACGACAGUGAAAGAUAAAUGUAUGCGUCCUAUUUGCGGGGCGACUAUUGCGACGGCAACGCGGCACAAUGUGGAGAGACGCGACUUUAGCCGCUACAAAGCUUCCAUGCUAACUAGCCAUGCUAACUAGCCAUGCUAACUAGCCAUGCUAACUAGCCAUGCUAACUAGCCAUGCUAACUAGCCAUGCUAACUAGCCACCUGGUAGCGCACAUAGACUUUAUGCGCACUACGGACAGGAAAAUCCGGGACUUAAAGGCACGAUGCAGAGGUGAUCCAGACUUCCCGACAUUCCUACAUUACCACUGCAUCAUUCACCAGCAGGACAUAUGUAUGUACAAAAGUGGCCGGAUUUGAUCAUGUGAUGACUCGUGUCGUGAAGAUCAUAAAUGGCUCCAAAGCCAAACAACCAGGACAUUGAAGGUGCUGCUGGAGGAGCUGUUAGCUGAACAUUGUGACCUGUUACUACACACAGAAACCCCAUGGAUCAGCAGGGACCAGUUUUGCAGCGUUUUUUGUUGCUGUUGGCAGAAAUCCAAGCGUUGAUGCAAUCCAAAAGGGAAGACACCUUGCUGCUUGAGGAUACUGAGUGGAUUCUUGCCCUUGCAUUUUUAACGGACAUCACUGGGAAACUGAACCAUCUGAACUGUGACCUGCAAGAUAAAGUCCCUCUGCUCAACUGGUUUCCCUGCAUUCACUUCCAUUGGCUCUGCUACCUGUUUAGGCCACUACCACCCUGUAGCCUGGUCUCUGCCUCAUGGACUCCUGCAGUUAAGUCUUCCUGGUCUUUAGCAUUUAAUCUGUCAGCGUUGUUUCUGUUUGAUUCCUCAUUCAGUCUGUUCUUGUGUUGUACUUGGUUUUGUUCAGCCUUAGAUCUGUUUGGGGGGCUGCACAGUCGCUCGCUGGUUAGCGCCUUCGUCUUGCAGCUCGAAGCUCCCCGUUUUGCAUCCCGACCUGGAAUCUUUCUGCAUGGAGUUUGCAUGCUUUGUCUGUGCAUGCAUGGGUACUCUGGCUUCCCCCCAUAGUCCAAAACAUGCUGAGGUUAACUGGUAACUCUUGUCUCUAUGCGUAGUCCUGCGAUAGACUGGCGACCUGUUUUUGGUGUUCAGUUUCUGCUGUUAACUUAGUCUUUAGUUUGGUUUGUCUAGUUGCUCGCUCUCCAUACCUCACUCCCUGGGCUUAUUUAGUGUACCUGAUUUGCUUCCCUGUAAACAAUUGUGCACCUGAUUAUGUUCAUGUCCUGUAAAUAAGUACUUUUUCACUUAAUCUCUGGUUUGCUUGUCCUCACUAGUGUCUGCAUUUCCCAAAGAUAAGCUGUGACAAAGGCCUUAUUCAAAAAUGUUUUAAAACUCCAAUGAUUCUUAUUUUCAGGCGAUUAUACACUCAUGAAAACAUAAAUGUGAGCAAUGCAUUUUACUACAGCCAACGGAGCCUCCUAAAUCUUUAAUUUUCCUUUUAAAGAGCAAAAAUUGUAAAAGAAAAAAAUCAAACGUUUCAGUAGAUUUUUAUUUAUGACUCUUGAUUACAUGAACAUCCACCAAAUAACAUAAAAGUUGCUUCCAGUAAUGUUCUACUGUUGAUCAAAGUGACGUUUAACAAGAAAUCUGACUGUUUUAUAAUGCCCUAAAAGCACCACAGAGAUGGAAAAACUGAAGAUGAAGGUUUGAGGAGCAUUAAGACAGCAAGAUAUUUGGUUAAUUGUUACGACUGCGGUCGUUAUUGUAGUUUCCUGUGCUGUGUCCUUUUUAUGUCCCUAUCAUGUAUGCAAAUAGGGCUGCGCCGCACCACGGUCACGGUUGGACGCCAGGAUGACGGCUCGGCACUGGAUUGGUUGGCUGUACCAGGAAGCCCGAGAUAUAAAGGCGGAACCGUGACGUCGUCUCCGGGGGUCAGAGGGCCAGAGGGCGUGGCUACAUCCUACCCUGCUUCCAACCUACACGUCAGCACACUUGGGUUCCAGUGAUCAGCUGUGAUUUAGAGAUUUAAUAUUGAGUGAUCGCAGUGAGCAGCCACCUUUUGUUUAACCGUUUUUUUCUCAUGUUUAAGUUAGGAUAGGGAGGUUAGACUUUGUUGUUCUUUUUACCUUUUUGUUUUUGGCAGAUCAGUUUUGGGUUAAUAGCUUAGUGGCGUUUUGUUUGUUGUUUUGGUUUUGCUCACUGUCGCUUUCAGUUACCAGUCCCCCAUUGUUUCAGUUCUUAAAAUUUGUUGAGAAAUAAAUACCUAAUCUUUUUGCGAAAACGUGUGUUGGAAAUGCUUGGGACAGGGGAAGGAUGCCUCUUCGUUUCUAUCGUAUUUGUGUGAGUCAGCUAGAGCUGACAUUAUUCAGUUGAUAGAGGACAAUUUACUCCUCUUUUCGGAUCAUCCUCGUCAAACGUGUGUGUUGUUCCAUGAUAUUCAUGUGCAGGGUCAUCCUCCUAUCAAACACAUGUAUACAGGGUUAAUCCGACAAAAAGGGCCCUAAUGCAGCAGGAGGUGAGCUAUCUUGUGGAACAUGGGUUAGCUGUCCCAGCAUCAGCGCAUGGAGCUCUCCAUGUGUGCUGGUUCCGAAACCAGACAACACUCAUCGUUUUUGUAAUGAUUACCGAAAGGUAAAUGCAGUCACAAUACCCGACUCCUAUCCGUUGCCACGGAUGGAGGAUUGUAUAGACCGGGUGGGUUCUGCCAGAUUUGCGACCAAACUGGACCUUCUAAAAGGCUACUGGCAGGUUCCGUUAACGCCCCGUGCGUCAGAAAUAUCCGCAUUUGUUACUCCUGAUGCUUUCCUCCAGUACACUGUUAUGCCAUUUGGGUUGAGAAACGCUCCCGCUACUUUCCAGCGUCUUAUGCAUGUAGUUCUGGUUGGAGUGAAAACCUGUGACGCAUAUCUGGAUGAUGUAGUGGCUUAUUCCUCCACAUGGUCAGAGCAUCUGAAGACGUUAUCUGAGAUAUUUAGUCGUUUAGGAGAGGCAUCUCUCACUCUUAACCUCGCAAAAUGUGAAUUUGGGAAAGGAACUGUGACUUAUCUGGGGAAACAGGUGGGUCAGGGCCAGGUUCGUCCAGUAACAGCCAAGGUGCAGGCUGUAGUAGAGUUCCCUGUUCCUCAGUAGAAACGAGCGUUGCGCCGUUUUCUUGGUAUGUGUGGGUAUUAUCGAGGAUUCUGCAGAAAUUUUUCAGAGGUUGUCGCUCCUCUUACUGCCCUAGUUAGUCCGUUAAGAAAUUUUGUGUGGACCCCCGCUUGUCAAGCUGCUUUUGAGUCAGCCAAAGCUCUGUUAUGUAGCGCUCCUGUUCUUGCUGCGCCCGAUUUUGCGCGUCCUUUUAAUUUGGAGGUGGAUGCUCGUGUGUGGGGUGCAGGCGCUGUUCUCCUGCAGGAAGACGACCAGAAACUCGACCAUCCCAUCUGCUACUUUUCUAAAAAGUUCAACAAGCAUCAGGUACAUUAUAGUACCAUAGAAAAGGAAGCACUGGCCUUGCUGCUCGCCCUGCAGAACUUUGAAGUUUAUCUAGGUUCUAGCUCACAAACAGUUCAGGUUUUUACGGACCAUAAUCCUCUAGUGUUUCUCUCUAGGAUGAGAAAUUGCAACCAGAGGCUCAUGCGUUGCUCUCUUUUGCUGCAAGAUUUUAACUUGCAGAUUCGUCAUAAGAAGGGUUCUGAAAAUAUAUUGGCUGACACUCUGUCAAGGUCCUAUUUGAAUUAAAUACCUUAGAGGGGGUAUUUAAUUCUUGGGGAAGGGGGUGUUACGACUGCGGUCGUUAUUGUAGUUUCCUGUGCUGCGUGUCCUUUUUAUGUCCCUAUCAUGUAUGCAAAUAGGGCUGCGCCGCACCACGGACACGGUUGGUCGCCAGGAUGACGGCUCGGCACUGGAUUGGUUGGCUGUACCAGGAAGCCCGCGAUAUAAAGGCGGAACCGUGACGUCGUCUCCGGGUCAGAGGGUCAGAGGGCGUGGCUACAUCCUACCCUGCUUCCAACCUACACGUCAGCACACUUGGGUUCCAGUGAUCAGCUGUGAUUUAGGGAUUUAAUAUUGAGUGAUCGCAGUGAGCAGCCACCUUUUGUUUAACCGUUUUUUUCUCAUGUUUAAGUUAGGAUAGGGAGGUUAGACUUUGUUGUUCUUUUUACCUUUUUGUUUUUGGCAGAUCAGUUUUGGGUUAAUAGCUUAGUGGCGUUUUGUUUGUUGUUUUGGUUUUGCUCACUGUCGCUUUCAGUUACCAGUCCCCAUUGUUUCAGUUCUUAAAAUUUGUUGAGAAAUAAAUACCUAAUCUUUUUGCGAAAACGUGUGUUGGAAAUGCUUGGGACCAGGGGAAGGAUGCCUCUUCGUGUUACGCACAGUGACCCCUCGGCUGGGCGUAACACAAUCUCUGUGUAAAUCACAUUCAUUGUGUUUUAUACUUUGUUUUUAAAGCUGAGAUAUGUCUCAUUGUUAAUCACAAAAUUGUAAAUUACACUUUACUUGUUUUGAAUCGUUAACUUUAUUUUCAAAUCAUGUAAAUAUGUUUCAUGUAAAAGAUGUACGUAGCAAUCGUUAUGUCCCUUUUUGGUUUGUGGACUACUGUACUGAAACCUAAAGUUUGGCUUCUAAACAUUG